CUUUAAUUAGCAUAAUAGGACUCAUUCAGUCCGGUCAAGAUAGACAUUCAAGGUUACAAAAAUUCGCAUAGAGCUAAAAAUUGGUACGAAUGUUGGGACCAAUUGCACUGUGAAAAGUCCCCAUCGAUUCCC